UCUGUGUAGGCAUCCUUACUCUGGGACUUGCUUUGUGCCAGUUUGAACAUGGGUAUUGCUUCUUCACAGGUCCUGGGACCCAACUCAACUGCAAACAGCAUCAUGGCUGCCUAUCAGCAGAAGAGGAUGGUGGUUCCUGCUGUACAAGAUCCAGAACUACUAAUUGCACCAAAACUCAAUAAAAAUCUACAGUGGAAACUGCAUCUUUUCCAGUAAUGAAAAGUCAAGGAAUCCCAGUGGACUCUGAACUGUUACUUUUCAUAUUUCAUUACACCUUUAUUAAAACAUUGUUGGUAUUCCUGCU
rnacentral:lncRNA from 1 species